rnacentral:rRNA from 1 species
GACGAACGCUGGCGGCGUGCCUAAUACAUGCAAGUCGAACGGAAAGGCCCUGCUCUUGCGGCGUUCUCGAGAGCCGAACGGGGGAGUAACACGUGAGUAACCUGCCCCUGACUUUGGGAUAACUUCAGGAAACAGCGGCUAAUACCGGAGAGGAUCUCCUGCUGCAUGGUGGGGGUUGGAAAGUGUCGGCCGUUGGGUAUGGACUCGCGGGUUAUCAGCUUCUUGGUGGGGUAGUGGCGUACCAAGCCUACGACGGAUAGCCGGCAUGAGAGGGUGGACGGGCACCAUGGGACUGCGAUACGGCCCAGUAUGCUACGGUACGCAACGGUGGGGAAUCUUGCGGAAUGGGCGGAAGCGAGAUACAGCAACGCCGCGUGCGGGAUGACCGCCUUCGAGUUGUAAACCGCUUUCGACUGUGACGAGGCGUGAGUGACGGUACUGGGUAAGAAAGCACCGGCUAACUACGUG